UCUGCACAGCACCCAGCAGGUCACUCCGGGGCAGGGACCUCUGUCUGCUACGUGGCACCCACACUCCCAGAGCCGAGCCCGGCCCGCGACAGGCACCAGCGACUAAGCGAACAGAGGGACGUCUGGUGGCUCCAGUGGCAUGAACUGCAGAGAGGCCCAGCGAUGUCUAAGUGAAGGAUGGAAGAAGCCCAGGCUAAGACGGAAAUGGGACCACCCCGGGAAGGAACCGAGGCUCAGAGAGGAGAAGCUCAGGGAAGGAGGAGGCGCCAGCUCGGCCGCUGCCCAACCCUGAACCCGAAAGGCCGGCAGCCACGGAACCUCGUGGAACCCCGCGUACACGGCUGUCUGCGGGACCUCGCCGCCCCGCCUCGCAGCACCCACUUCAGGAGCAGACACCUGGACACUGCGGACAAACAGACUGGGGGGGAGGAUGGUGAGCCCACCCUGCAACUGUGGUCCCUCGGGAGGCUCAGAAGACGAGGUGAACCCAGGACGGCCACCAAGCAGCCAGGAGAGCAGAGCCGCAUUGUUUCUAAGCAGAUCUUUUAUGAAUAAUGAUCUGCACACACAAAAAAAACCCGAGCAAUAAAAAGAAAUCGGCAGCGGA